GUUCAUAGGUUCCACCGGGGUGCCCCUAUUUUGAGGGGAGAAUAGGGAAGCAGGUGCAAAUCCUGCGCGGCCCCGCCACUGUAACCGGGAGCUGCUGCCCAAUUGCCAAGCCACUGGGAGAUGACUGCCUGGGAAGGCCGGGCGGCGGCGAGGAACGGAAGCCAGGAGACCUGCCCCGGUGGCGUCCUGGGG
rnacentral:ncRNA from 2 species